AUGGCGGAUUUUCAGAAAACGGGGUCAGAGCUGCAGACCAUAAAGCAGUUAAAAUAAACCUGCAAAUGAAUAUAUACUGUAAUGAUCUAGAUUUGCAAAUAAGCCAUUAUCGCACAUUUUAAUAGGAUUUGUUUAUUUUUAAUUCGUUUAACUUUCUCCUGUUGGUGUUUAACGGCCUGUAUUUGUAGCUUUACAAAGAGAAGAGUGUCCAAAACGAAGCUCGGGUUUCCAGGACUAGAGGAGUGUCCAAAACGAACCUCUGGUUUCCCAGUGUGCAAGAAAGUGGAAGCAGCAGAAGGCCCUGAUAAGUACACAGGAUAAAUUGAGUCUGCCCCUCCACAAGCUCAUCACAGAAUCCCCGACAAGGUGGGGUUCUCACCUGCAGAUGAUGGAAAGAGUCCUUGAGCAGGAAAAGGCCAACCUACAAGUCCUGGCAGCAGACAAAAAAAAACACGGCACCUUGCACCCUCCUGACAAGACAUUGAGGUCUUUGAAUCUAUCACGGCAGCACUUAAGCCCCUCCAGAAGAGACAUACGUGAGUGUGUCCUAUCUGAAGCCUGUUCAAUAUGGAGGUUCUGAAAUUAAAUGAUGGCGAAGCCAACCUGACCGAGAGAUUAAGAUGAGGGUCCUCAAUUACCUGAAUGACAAAUACACCAACCCUGAAACAGAUGAGCUGCUCACCAAUAUCUACCUUUCUGGACUCAAGGUUCAAGACCACCUACAUGACCACUGAGAAGCUGGUGAAGGUGAGAGCUGCCUCCGAGACAGAAGCCGCCCUCGUAUGGGAACACAGCCGUGGGAGACUUCUCUCUUGAAGAGGACAAGCAUAACGCAACGGACAUAAAUCUUCCUAAAAAAUCUUCCUAUUCAUGAAAAUCACAAAUGAAAUAUAUUGGAACACAGCUUAGCCUUUUGUUAAUCACCCUGUCAUCUCAGAUUUUCAAAAUAUGCUUUACAGCCAAAGCUAAACAAGCAUUUGUGUAAGUUUAUCGAUAGCCUAGCAUAGCAUUAUGUCUUGCUAGCAGCAGGCAACCUUGUCACAGAAAAGCAAUCAUAUUAAAUCGUUUACCUUUGAUGAA